UACAGAGGUCCCGAGCGUUGUUCGGAAUUACUGGGCGUAAAGGGUGCGUAGGCGGUUCGUUAAGUUGGAUGUGAAAACUCUGGGCUCAACCCAGAGCCUGCAUCCAAAACUGGCGGGCUAGAGUUCUGGAGGGGGUAGCGGAAUUCCUGGUGUAGCGGUGAAAUGCGUAGAUAUCAGGAGGAACACCGGUGGCGAAGGCGGCUACCUGGACAGAAACUGACGCUGAGGCACGAAAGCUAGGGGAGCAAACAGG
rnacentral:rRNA from 1 species